rnacentral:lncRNA from 1 species
AAAUGUUUCCAGCCGUCAAUCUGUACUGCUGGAAAAAAGCUAAAUUCCUCUUUUUGUCCCAUCUCGUAGUCUACAAAGGAUCAGAGACUGGUGUAUUCUGGCAGACUGCUUCCUGAUCAUCUGCAGCUGAAAGAUAUUCUCAGAAAACAAGAUGAAUAUCAUAUGGUUCAUCUAGUGUGUACUUCACGGACCCCCCCAAGUUCUCCAAAACCAAGCAUCAGUUCCAUGUGUCAUGGAGCAUCGACAUCUGGCAGCAGCUCAAAUUCAGAACAUUCUGGAUCAACAACUCCAUCACCCACAAGCCAAGAAUCUUCAUCUACAUCUAUAAACUCUAUCUCAGAUGGAGUGAGGGCAUCGUAACCUUCCACAAGCACAAAGCAAUCCUGUGCAAA